rnacentral:rRNA from 1 species
AAACGCUUGAAGUCAGUCACGUCUGCCAGGACUCAGUCUUGCUUCUGCUUGACGUACUUUCUGGUUUGAUGGGCCAACAUCAAUUUUGACCGUUGGAGAAAGGCAUUGGGAAUGUGGCACCUUCGGGUGUGUUAUAGCCCUUUGUUGUAUACAGCGGUUGGGAUUGAGGACUGCAGCACGCCUUCAUGGCCGGGGUUCGCCUACGUACGUGCUUGGGAUGUUGGCAUAAUGGCUUUAAGCGA